rnacentral:tRNA from 1 species
AGUAGCUCAGCUGGACAGAGCAUCAGAUUCCUAAUCUGAGGGUCGCGGGUUCGAAUCCCGCCUGG